rnacentral:lncRNA from 1 species
GGGUGCUUUGUGGAAGUCAUGGGGCAGGGUCCCCUGAGGCACCUUGAAAGUAAAGGAGAAACAGCUCUCAGGGACUCAGCCGCAAGUCAUUAGUAACUAAGCGGAACAGCUGUCUUCAACAAAGCUUAACUUGGAUCCCAGAACUGAAACAGCGGGAGAAACAGAACUGUCACCUUCCUUAACCUGGAUCCCAGAAUUUAAACGGACUGCUUCCCCAACAGCAGGCAAUGGAGUCCCUGAGAUGCCUGUUAAAAAUACAGACAGACCCCUGUUCACAAGGGCCAAGAGGUGGGAGCAACCCAAGUGUGCACGGAUGGAUAAAUGGAUAAGCAAAAUGUGGUCUAGCCAUGCAACGGAAUGUCCUGCAGCCUUGAACAGGAAGGAAAUCUUGACGCGCGCCGCAGCAUGGGGGAGCCGCAAUGAGGACGUUAUGCUAAGCCAGUCACAAAUGCAUGAUUCCACUCAGAGGAAGUACCCAGAGUCGUCAAAUUCAGAGACACAGAGAUGGAGAAAUUGCACUGCAGAGAAAUCUUUAAAAGCAAUGACCUAAUACUGCAGAUUGCUGAACUGUACCCACACCCAAGACUGAGCAUUGGAUCAAUCCAGAAUAUACAUCAGGUGUUCUGCAAUGUCUGCCUAAAACCAUGACUCUGCCUCCUCCAGCUGUUACUACAUCUCACUAUGGGUUUCCUGUGACAUUUUGAGCAAGUAUGCCUCUGUGACUGGGGUUCUUACACUCCAGAAUGGAUGAGAAGCACCAUAAGUGGCUUUUAAAAUGAAUAUUCCCUGGCCC